CGAGGUCUUGCAAAACAGCACUGGGUUUACAGCACUCUGCCAGGCGAUAGAGAGUGGAGUCUGAUUCAACUUCCUUGGCACACCUGCUUUGGGGGAUGUGUGGGCCAGAUGGGUAAGUCCAUGUCCUUCCAGUACCUCUGCUGCUUCUCAGUUACAUCCUCCUAAAAGUGAACGCUGAUUGUGUUUUUCUGUUUAUUACGAAUGUAAGUACAUUUGGCCAUUCUAUUCUAUGAUUAUAUUGUUUGUUUUAAUGUGUCUUUUUUU
rnacentral:lncRNA from 1 species